rnacentral:rRNA from 1 species
UAAUACGUAGGAGGCAAGCGUUGUCCGGAUUUAUUGGGCGUAAAGGGCGUGCAGGUGGCAUAGAAAGUUUUUGUUGAAAUCUCCCGGCUUAACUGGGAGGGGUGCAAGAAUACUUCUAAGCUAGAGGGCAGUAGAGGAAAGUGGAAUUCAUGGUGUAGUGGUGAAAUGCGUAGAUAUCAUGAGGAACACCAGUGGCGAAAGCGGCUUUCUGGGCUGCACCUGACACUGAGGCGCGAAAGCAUGGGUAGCAAACCGGAUUAGAUACCCGGGUAGUCCAUGCCAUAAACGAUGGAUACUGAGUAUGGGGGGUAUCGACCCCUUCUGUGCUGAAGCUAACGCGUUAAGUAUCCCGCCUGGGAACUACGGUCGCAAGACUA